rnacentral:rRNA from 1 species
AAAUUGAAGAGUUUGAUCAUGGCUCAGAUUGAACGCUGGCGGCAGGCCUAACACAUGCAAGUCGAACGGUAGCACAGAGAGCUUGCUCUCGGGUGACGAGUGGCGGACGGGUGAGUAAUGUCUGGGAAACUGCCUGAUGGAGGGGGAUAACUACUGGAAACGGUGGCUAAUACCGCAUAACGUCGCAAGACCAAAGAGGGGGACCUUCGGGCCUCUUGCCAUCAGAUGUGCCCAGAUGGGAUUAGCUAGUUGGUGAGGUAACGGCUCACCAAGGCGACGAUCCCUAGCUGGUCUGAGAGGAUGACCAGCCACACUGGAACUGAGACA